GUCCCUCUCCCAUUACCUCGUUCAUUCUGGAAACCCUCGCCACCGUCCCGAUUCGCUGGGUAGAAAAAAAGAAGAAGAGAUAUACCAGCUGUGCCGCCCUGACUGUGCUUCGCCAUCGGCAAACGUUCGGAUGGACAGUGCGGGCAUGGAAUUUUUGCUUGACGCGGUCGACAUGUUCCCGGUGAAAGAGGAGUUCACUGAUAACCUUGAACAGCAGGAUCCGAUUUUGUUCCCUUUCCUGUUAGAAAACGGAGCAGCCAAUGCGAAGGGAGGUGAUUCAGAUGCUGGGUCUGGUAUGGCUCAAAAGGUUGGGGGAGAUGGGGCGAUUGGAGCCCAGGAAGGUGCGCGUCGUCGUGCUGCUUCCCCAACAAGGUCCGCAGAAUCCAUAGAUAGAGUAAAUCCAGAGGCACCUCGCUGGACUAAAAGGCUUCGCCUGGGCAGAGUACCACCGGACAGGACUCCAUGCCCUUCCCGGAUGAGUGCUCUCGACUCUCGAGAUCUCAAUUCACAAGUAUGCAGAGCAACCUGACACGAGUGUGAUACGACCUGAGCUAGGGCUCAGCUUUGACUCUUUGGGCGAGGCAUAUGAUAUCUAUAAUCUGUAUUCAUGGCGGGUCGGUUUUGGAAUACAGUAUGGUAAGAGCAGGCUAAAUGCGGAAAGAACAAAAAGCAUGCAGGAAAUCGUCUGUGGUUGCUCGGGGAAACCUGAAGCCGAAAACAACCCUGAUCAGACUUCUGCGUGCAUCUGACAACAACAGGUACAUAACUGAACACAGCAAGAGCCACAACCACUCCAUGUUGCUGACUACGGGAGAGAAAGUGCAUUGGCCUUCUCACAAACACAUUUAUGUGUACAAGGAUUUGAUAAGGCAGCUCAGGGAAAACAAUGUGAACCUGGGGAAGGUGUGCAACAUAAUAGGUAGCUUCUUUGGUUCAGUUGAGAAUAUAUGUGGCAAGAUUAGUCGUGAAUAGGCUGGUGAUGAUGUGCGGAAGAUGAUUGAGGUGUUUGCUGACAUCCGUUCCAGUGACCCUGGGUUCACCUAUGUGGUGUUGACCGACAAGUCAAGCAAGGUGAAAAAUCUGGCGUGGGCUAAUGGGAGCAGCCGAAUGCAGUACAAGUUCUUUAGUGAUGUGGUCACAUUUGACACUACAUACUGGACAAACCUGUAUGGCAUGCCAUUUGGGUUAUUCAUGGGAGUUAACAAUCACUAUCAAAGCAUUAUUCUGGCAGGGGUGUUGAUGCGUGAUGAGCAAGAAGAGAGCUUCGUAUGGGUGUUUGAAGAAUUUUUGCGUAUGAUGGGCGGCCCUGCCCUGAAAACAAUACUCACAGGUCAGGUUUCAUUUUCACGCCAGUUAUACUAUGUUGGGCAUCAAACUAUGUGGUUCCCUGUAUUGGAAAAGAUGUCUACUUUUUUUCAAGUAAUUAUCAUGCCUGACACAAAGGAAAUGCCAUUUUAAUUGCAGAGGUUGGUUGUUUAGUAUCCUAAACUAAUAACUUUUAGUAAGAUCAGAAAGCAGAUUGUACAGACACAUGGUUACAGUUAAUAGUAUCUCGCAUAAAGGGUGCAAUAGACUGACAAAGUCAUACAUAAUACCACUAGGAAGCUGGAGAUGGAAAGGAAACAAGUCAACAAUUGUUUGUUUGGCACACCAUCAUUAUGAAUUACAUAGGCACACAACAUAGGCACACAACGCUGUACUUCAAGGCCAUGGAAGUCAUGCGGAUGGGAGAUGCAAGUGCUACAUGACCACAUGCAUGCAGGUCUGGAAGUUGUGCUACUGAGUGGAGUAUCAUUGGUAGAGAAGAGAGAUGGUUUGGCGUUUGAGGACAGAUUGGUAGAAACAGAGGAUGCAAAACUACAUGGCAACAACGAGUUUGCAAUUGUUGAAGAUGGCACGGAGGAGUGCGCGCCAUAGUGCUGGGCAUUCUGCUAGUGUCAAUGCCCUGCUGGGGCUCGCAGCCCCAGACAAGCAUAGAGCUGCUGGAAGGCUGACAAACAGCAGAGACAAAGCCCUGUAUGAAGGGCUUAGUAAACGAACUAGAUUCUGCAGCAUUUUGUCGCCACCAAGGUCACAAGAGGACGGACCACAUGUCCAGAAAGAGGGGAUGCCCCAAAAAAGCCACAGAAGCCAGGGAAAUGAAAGAACUGCAGAAUAGAAGACCGGGCCACUUGGUAUUGCCAAGAUCUCAACUAUAAUUCUUUAGUUUGUAGUACUGGUUUUUAAAACACGAGAUCUUGCAAUGUGUUUUCGCAUGAGCACUGGUCCAUGCUUAUCCAUCAGACCGCACUGUCGUGAGUCCCUGCUGUAUCUAAAGAGAAUGAACUAUGUGUAUGGAUGUCUGAACUAUGAU